rnacentral:rRNA from 1 species
UACAGAGGGUGCGAGCGUUAAUCGGAAUUACUGGGCGUAAAGCGUGCGCAGGCGGUUUUGUAAGUCAGGCGUGAAAUCCCCGAGCUCAACUUGGGAAUGGCGCUUGUGACUGCAAGGCUAGAGUAUGUCAGAGGGGGGUAGAAUUCCACGUGUAGCAGUGAAAUGCGUAGAGAUGUGGAGGAAUACCGAUGGCGAAGGCAGCCCCCUGGGACGUCACUGACGCUCAUGCACGAAAGCGUGGGGAGCAAACAGG